rnacentral:misc_RNA from 1 species
CAUGUUGUCUCAUUCAAGACAAUGCUCUUUCUGGGUCUCAUAUUUCAUUUAAAUAUUUAGAACAUUGUUCUAAUAACACCAAAUGAAAACAUUACAGAAAAUAUGCUAACAGCAUGGGACAUGGAACAUGAAAAAUAAUUUUCUCAGGAUUUCUUUUACCUUCAAUUUGCAUGCUACAGCAUUGAUAUCUCCAUACCACCUGCUGGUUUGAAGCAAUGUAAAUUACAUGUCCAAAUAAUCCCAUGCUGUUUGAUUUCUGUCAAUCUCAGAUGGACCUGUGUGUGCAGGGAGCAUUUCCCUAAAAAUUAGAGAUUGUAUUCCUCAAAUCCACUUAACAGAGAAUCAUUAAGUAAAUUAUAUAAAAGGGGGAAAAUGGUUUUCAAAAUUUAGGUAGAUUACCUAAUGAUGCAGGUUUCAAAAAAUAAAUUUUAUCUCCAAACCUUAUCACCCAUAAAUUUAAGAGCUGGGACACCUCUUAUCUCUACAUCAAAUAGGGGUGCCUGGAUUAAUCUCAAACUACUGAGCUCUGGAUCAUUCUGGAUGAUAUCAAGUGCACGUCUUUGAUCCUUCCUUUUCAUUGCACAGAACUUGCAAUCUGAUGUAGAUGGAGGUAGAAUCUGAUUGACAAUAAGCCUCCUAACCGGAAUACUUUCCUUCCUCAAGGAUGCACGCAACCUUGCUGACUCAUUUACUGCCAUAACCGUUGGAAUUGUCACUAUAACAAAUUCAGUGGAGUCUGAGUCUUGGAAAAGGUCUCGCACUCUAGCCAUCUUCUCUCUUAAUUCCCCAAGUUUGUCAUCCAGUUUUUCAGAAGUAUCUUGCCGUGCCUCUUCUUUCCUAAAUACAGACUUGAGAGCUGAAGUUGCUGAAGCUAACUUCCUUUUCAGCUUCAUCAUUUUGCCUAUAGAUGCAUCCAAGAAGUCAGGCAGGGAUAGAAGCCGAAGUGUAUGACCCGUAGGUGCAGUAUCAAAGACUAUCCGCGUAAAUAUAUUAUAUUCUUGGGAUUCAACAAAUUCCAUAACCUUGGAAAUUGCAAUAGCUUCAUCUAGACCUGGCGGAGGAGUGUCCAACAACUCUCCUAGUUUUAAUUCCUCUAACUGGUUAGAAAGCAUGCCAAGGCCCAUGCCAUCCAUAAAGUUUUUGACACCACUGCCACCAGGCUUUUGAUUUCCACUGCGAAAUUCUUCUCUAGCUUUCUCAGGGCUUAUCUCAAGAGCAAAUAGUGGAGAAUCCGCUCCUUCAACAGGAACAAGCCUCCCUCCUGUCAAAUCCUGGGCAAAUGAAUCACUUAGGGAGUGAGCGGGAUCAGUUGAAACCACUAUUGUAGGGUGCCCAUGGCUAGCAAAUUUCACGGCAAGAGAAGCAGCACAGCUUGUUUUUCCAACGCCUCCUUUUCCACCUAACAUGUAGUACUUCCGCUGGGUCCCAGCAACCAUCUCAUCAAAUCCCACAACAUCAUCAGCAGGAGUCACUACUGACCUCACUUGAAAAGGAGCUCUAAAGGGUUUUGUCUGGAUUGGAGCUGAGAUAGAAGAAGUGAAACUUCUAUUGAUUCUACAAAGAAGACUAAAGUUUUGGGUUUUGGACAUACGACGGAACAGAGCUGCCAUGGCCAAUGAAUUAUUCUUUGUCCCCGAAACUCUGAAUUGAAACACACUGAAAAUGAGAAGUAGCGAAAUACAAUUCUAGUUUUUCGUUUGAUUACUGGGAAAGCCAAAAAACAAAAAAGAACAAACGAAUAUCCAGAGAAUCGUGUUGUUUUAAUACUGAAAGUGGACUGUGGCUGUGAGUGAAUUGUUUGGGAUUUGCUUAUUUGCUCUGUUUGGGUUACGGGGAGAAGGACAUGGCUUCAAGCCCGGAGGCCGG